rnacentral:rRNA from 1 species
GGAUUAGGCAUGCAAGUCGAACGACGACCGGGGGCAACUCCGGUCGAGUGGCGAAAGGGGCAGUAAAGCAUGGGUAACCUGCCCCGGGGUGGGGUAUAGCCGUUCUAACGGACGGGUAAUCCCCCGCGAUGCAGCCGGGAGGCCUCUCCUGGCUGCCAAAGCUUUCGUGCCCCGGGAGGGGCCCAUGUGCUAUUAGCUAGUUGGCGGGGUAACGGCCCACCAAGGCGAAGAUGGCUAGCGGGUGUGCGAGCACGACCCGCGCCACUGGCACUGGGACACUGGCCAGACACCUACGGGUGGCUGCAGUCGAGGAUCUUCGGCAAUGGGCGCAAGCCUGACCGAGCGACGCCGCGUGUGCGAUGAAGGCCUUCGGGUUGUAAAGCACUGUCGAGGGGGAUGAAAGCCGCAAGGCUUGACAGAUCCCUGGAGGAAGCACGGGCUAAGUUCGUGCCAGCAGCCGCGGUAAGACGAACCGUGCAAACGUUGUUCGGAUUCACUGGGCUUAAAGGGCGCGUAGGCGGGUUUUCCAGUCGGGGGUGAAAUCGUUCGGCCCAACCGGACCAGGGCCUCCGAUACUGAAAAUCUCGAGGGGGGUAGGGGCGCGUGGAACUCAGGGUGGAGCGGUGAAAUGCGUAGAUAUCCUGAGGAACGCCGGUGGCGAAAGCGACGCGCUGGGCCCUUACUGACGCUGAGGCGCGAAAGCCAGGGGAGCAAACGGGAUUAGAUACCCCGGUAGUCCUGGCCCUAAACGAUGGGUACUAGGUUGUGGACUAGACAUGGGUUCACAGCCGAAGCAAAAGUGUUAAGUACCCCGCCUGGGGAGUAUGGUCGCAAGGCUGAAACUCAAAGGAAUUGACGGGGGCUCACACAAGCGGUGGAGCAUGUGGCUUAAUUCGAGGCUACGCGAAGAACCUUAUCCUGGGCUUGACAUGUGCGAAAGCGGCCGGAAGUAGCCCGCGGAAACGUGGGGCCAACGGUAUCCAGUCCGGAACCGGCUACAGGUGCUGCAUGGCUGUCGUCAGCUCGUGUCGUGAGAUGUCGGGUUAAGUCCCAUAACGAGCGAAACCCCUGUCCUUAGUUGCUAACGUCCAGUCGAGUACUCUAGGGAGACUGCCGGUGUUAAACCGGAGGAAGGUGGGGAUGACGUCAAGUCCUCAUGGCCUUUAUGCCCAGGGCUGCACACGUGCUACAAUGGCGUGUACAAAGGGAGGCCAACCCGCAAGGGGGAGCAAAUCCCAAAAAACACGCCCCAGUUCAGAUCGAAGGCUGCAACUCGCCUUCGUGAAGUUGGAAUCGCUAGUAAUCGCGGGUCAGCAACACCGCGGUGAAUGUGUUCCUGAGCCUUGUACACACCGCCCGUCAAGCCACGAAAGGGAGGGAUAUCCGAAGUCGCCGUGCCAACCGCAAGGGGGCAAGCGCCGACGAUAGACUUCCUGAUUGGGACUAAGUCGUAACAAGGUAACC